AAGUCGUAACAAGGUAUCCGUAGGUGAACCUGCGGAUGGAUCAUUAACAAAGCAGUUAAAAGCUUUGAACCACUGUGGUUGAAAGAAGUAAAGAAGAGAGAGGGGUGCGGGGGAGACGGCGGCGUCAUUGGCCGACGAGCCCGCGCACCCGUCUAUCUAUUAUUAACCCUAGUCAUUGAAUACUCAUUUCAUGUCUAUUACAUUGAUAAUAUCUAAUACAACUGCUAGCAACGGAUCACUCGGCUCUC
rnacentral:misc_RNA from 1 species